rnacentral:rRNA from 1 species
AUGGAGAAUGGUUCUUUGAGUACUAAUCUAUUUUUGAAGAGUUCGGCCAUAUUGACCUGGAAUCUCCGGUACUAUAUAGCACUUGGAACAGCAAGAGGCUUGGCUUAUCUGCAUGUGGAAUGCAGUGAAUGCAUUAUACACUGUGACAUGAAGCCAGACAAUGUACUUCUUGUUGCAGAAUUCUGCCCCAAGAUUGCGUACUUCGGCAUGGCCAAGCUUCUAGGUCGAGAUUUCAGCAGGGCUUUGACAACAAUGCGAGGGGCCAUUGGAUAUCUUGCACCGGAGUGGAUAUCGGGGUUACCGAUCACACAUAAGACUGAUAUUUACAUCUAUGGCAUGAUGCUUCUUGAAAUCAUAUCUGGUCCAAGGAACUCAGGGAAAAUUAAGGAAGGGAAGUUUACAUACUUUCCCAUCUUUGCGGCAAUUAAGGUGAAUGAGGGAGAUGAUGUGUGUCUGUUGGAUAGUAGGUUGGAAGGUGAAGCAGAUGGAGAGCAGCUGAGAAGAGCUUGCAGAAUUGCAUGCUGGUGCAUUCAAGAUGCUGAGGAUUACAGGCCGAUGAUGGGACAAGUUGUUCACAUGCUAGAGAAUGUCAUGGAUGUCGAAAUCCCACCUAUUCCAAGGUCACUUGAACACUAUGUUGGCAUGGAGGAUUGCUCUGCGGAACCAGAUAACUUGUUCUAA